rnacentral:lncRNA from 1 species
AUAAUCCCCAUUCAGAGUUCUACACUAAAAGUUUGAAAGAGCAUCUUGGGCAAUAUUUCGAGCAGCUUAAUGUGCCACAAGAGCUUUCGGUGGAGGACAAGCUCGCUAAAUUGUUGGAAUUAACUGACUUAUACAUUGAAAUAACAAAUGAAGGAUUUCAAAUUCAAGCAGUAAACCGUGGGAAAAGCUAUGAUGAUCAAGAGGUUGGUGCAGGAACUGAGGAGCCAUCUGUCUGUUAUUCACGUCCAAAGGAGGAAACAGCCCAUGAUGACCUUGAAAAUUCCAUAGAAUCUGCUCCUUCAAAAGUCUGUGUGCCACUCAUGCACUAUCCCGAGACUCCAAGGCGACCCGCUAAGCAGCAAGAAUGCAUGAAUACUCUGACAAAUCUAAAUAUAGGACAGCUGCUUACUGAUUAGAAAAUUUUAGCGGCGGUAACGGACAGUGCACCUGCACAGCCCAUCAAAUUCAAAGAAAUGCCAGAUGAGUCCUGCAAACAGGCAAAGAUCCACAAGGAAACAAAGAAAAAGCUUAAUGGCAACCUAAUUCUUCGUCAAGAAAUUCGGCCAAUGCAGAAAUUGUGGGUGUCAAAUACAAGGUUUAAGUCAGUUCGACGAAGACGUAAACAUUGCUGGAAGGGAUCCUAUUUUAUUACAACAUUUCAUUCAUAUAGAAGGGCUAAUAUGAAGGAUUCAACCACUUCCCUGAAACACAUAAUUGACAAACAUCAUCUCAUUCCGUACCUACUGUUGUUGUAUGAUGCUAUCAAGGAGUGGUUGAUUAUAAGAGAACAAGUGACGUGAUUAUCAAUUCAUUCCUCUACGUCUAGCUAUAGACAUUAACUACAGCGCUUAUUGGGAGGCAACCCAAUUUUUCUAAACUCUUUUCUUUUUAUUUUCGUUCAUUUUAUUUUCUUCCUUCUAGUCUUUAUCACAAAAAAAAAACAAAAACAAAACAAAAAAAUCAGAAAAUUGAAAAACACAAAAACAGCAAUUGUUUUUCGUUAAUCAGUAUUUUAUUUUGGGAUUUACUCGAAUUAGAUUUUUAAUCUGUG